UACAGAGGGGGCAAGCGUUGUUCGGAAUUACUGGGCGUAAAGGGCGCGUAGGCGGCCUGUUAAGUCGAACGUGAAAUCCCCGGGCUCAACCCGGGAACUGCGUCCGAUACUGGCAGGCUUGAAUUCGGGAGAGGAAUGUGGAAUUCCAGGUGUAGCGGUGAAAUGCGUAGAUAUCUGGAGGAACACCGGUGGCGAAGGCGGCAUCCUGGACCGAUAUUGACGCUGAUGCGCGAAAGCCAGGGGAGCAAACGGG
rnacentral:rRNA from 1 species